GACGAACGCUGGCGGCGUGCUUAACACAUGCAAGUCGAACGGAAAGGCCCUGCUUUUGUGGGGUGCUCGAGUGGCGAACGGGUGAGUAACACGUGAGUAACCUGCCCUUGACUUUGGGAUAACUUCAGGAAACUAGGGCUAAUACCGGAUAGGAGCUCCUGCUGCAUGGUGGGGGUUGGAAAGUUUCGGCGGUUGGGGAUGGACUCGCGGCUUAUCAGCUUGUUGGUGGGGUAGUGGCUUACCAAGGCUUUGACGGGUAGCCGGCCUGAGAGGGUGACCGGCCACAUUGGGACUGAGAUACGGCCCGGACUCCUACGGGAGGCAGCAGUGGGGAAUAUUGCACAAUGGGCGGAAGCCUGAUGCAGCAACGCCGCGUGCGGGAUGACGGCCUUCGGGUUGUAAACCGCUUUCGCCUGUGACGAAGCGUGAGUGACGGUAAUGGGUAAAGAAGCACCGGCUAACUACGUG
rnacentral:rRNA from 1 species